GGCCGUGUGGCUCAAUGGCAGAGCGUCUGACUACGAUUAGUAAAUCAGGAGGUUGCAGGUUCGACCCCUGUCUCGGUCA
rnacentral:tRNA from 1 species